UUUGUAAAUCUAUAUGGAUUGUUGAUUUCGACUCGACAGAAGUGAAGAUGUUGUGAA
rnacentral:tRNA from 1 species